UGUACAUGUAUAAGCUUCCUGAGUUUAGA
rnacentral:piRNA from 1 species